rnacentral:rRNA from 1 species
GAGUUAUUGUAGCAAUACAAGGCAUACGGCUCAGUAACGCGUAGUCAACCUAACCUAUGGACGGGAAUAACCUCGGGAAACUGAGAAUAAUGCCCGAUAGAACAUUAUACCUGGAAUGGUUUAUGUUCCAAAUGAUUUAUCGCCGUAGGAUGGGACUGCGGCCUAUCAGUUUGUUGGUGAGGUAAUGGCCCACCAAGACUAUUACAGGUACGGGCUCUGAGAGGAGUAGCCCGGAGAUGGGUACUGAGACACGGACCCAGGCCCUAUGGGGCGCAGCAGGCGAGAAAACUUUGCAAUGUGCGAAAGCACGACAAGGUUAAUCCGAGUGAUUUCUGCUAAAGAAAUCUUUUGUUAGUCCUAGAAACACUAACGAAUAAGGGGUGGGCAAGUUCUGGUGUCAGCCGCCGCGGUAAAACCAGCACCUCAAGUGGUCAGGAUGAUUAUUGGGCCUAAAGCAUCCGUAGCCGGCUCUGUAAGUUUUCGGUUAAAUCUGUACGCUCAACGUACAGGCCGCCGGGAAUACUGCAAAGCUAGGGAGUGGGAGAAGUAGACGGUACUCGGUAGGAAGUGGUAAAAUGCUUUGAUCUGUCGAUGACCACCUGUGGCGAAGGCGGUCUACUAGAACACGUCCGACGGUGAGGGAUGAAAGCUGGGGGAGCAAACCGGAUUAGAUACCCGGGUAGUCCCAGCUGUAAACUAUGCAAACUCAGUGAUGCAUUGGCUUGUGGCCAAUGCAGUGCUGCAGGGAAGCCGUUAAGUUUGCCGCCUGGGAAGUACGUACGCAAGUAUGAAACUUAAAGGAAUUGGCGGGGGAGCACCACAAGGGGUGAAGCCUGCGGUUCAAUUGGAUUCAACGCCGGG